GACGAACGCUGGCGGCGUGCCUAAUACAUGCAAGUAGAACGCUGAAGAGAGGAGCUUGCUCUUCUUGGAUGAGUUGCGAACGGGUGAGUAACGCGUAGGUAACCUGCCUGGUAGCGGGGGAUAACUAUUGGAAACGAUAGCUAAUACCGCAUAAAAUUGAUUAUCGCAUGAUAAUCAAUUGAAAGGUGCAAAUGCAUCACUACCAGAUGGACCUGCGUUGUAUUAGCUAGUUGGUGGGGUAACGGCUCACCAAGGCGACGAUACAUAGCCGACCUGAGAGGGUGAUCGGCCACACUGGGACUGAGACACGGCCCAGACUCCUACGGGAGGCAGCAGUAGGGAAUCUUCGGCAAUGGACGGAAGUCUGACCGAGCAACGCCGCGUGAGUGAAGAAGGUUUUCGGAUCGUAAAGCUCUGUUGUAAGAGAAGAACGAGUGUGAGAGUG
rnacentral:rRNA from 1 species